GAGACGUGGCAGCGGAGGGAUAAUCGGGGCGGCCGGGGCUGAAGGGAGAGGCGCAGGAGCCCUGGGGAGAGUGGUCCCUGCCCUUCCGCGCCUCGAGCCAUCGCUACCGCCCUUCGGAACCAGUGCAGCGGCCGAUCAGUAAACACAGAGACUGGGGAUCGAUCAUGGGGCUUUGUAAGUGCCCCAAGAGAAAGGUGACCAACCUGUUCUGCUUCGAACAUCGGGUCAACGUCUGCGAGCACUGCCUGGUAGCCAAUCACGCCAAGGUGGGGCCUUCAGGGGAGCGACUGAGCAGGGCACUGGGUGGGCAAGGCGGUAUUGGCUUCCUCCAAAUCCAUGAGGGGCCCCGCGCUAGAAUGUAAGCCCCACAAGGGCAAGGACUUGAUUUAUUUUGUUCACUGAUAUAUCCCCCGUUCCCAAGAGAGAGUCUGGUGCACAGUAUGUGCUCAAUAAAUAUUUAUUGAUUAAACAAACGAAA
rnacentral:lncRNA from 10 species